rnacentral:rRNA from 1 species
GACGAACGCUGGCGGCGUGCUUAACACAUGCAAGUCGAGCGGUAAGGCCCCUUCGGGGGUACACGAGCGGCGAACGGGUGAGUAACACGUGAGCAAUCUGCCCUUCACACGGGGAUAACUUCGGGAAACCGGAGCUAAUACCCGAUACGACCACCUCGGGCAUCCGAUGGUGGUGGAAAGCUCCGGCGGUGAAGGAUGAGCUCGCGGCCUAUCAGCUUGUUGGUGGGGUAACGGCCCACCAAGGCAACGACGGGUAGCCGGCCUGAGAGGGUGACCGGCCACACUGGGACUGAGACACGGCCCAGACUCCUACGGGAGGCAGCAGUGGGGAAUAUUGGACAAUGGGCGAAAGCCUAAUCCAGCAACGCCGCGUGAGGGAUGACGGCCUUCGGGUUGUAAACCUCUUUCAGCAGGGACGAAGCGCAAGUGACGGUACCUGCAGAAGAAGCACCGGCCAACUACGUGCCAGCCGCCGCCGUAA